GAUGAAGAACGCAGCGAAAUGAGAUAAGUAAUGUGAAUUGCAGAAUUCAGUGAAUCAUCGAAUCUUUGAACGCACCUUGCGCCCUUUGGCUAUUCCGAAGGGCAUGCCUGUUUGAGUAUCAUGAACACCUCAACUCUCAUGGUUUGCCAUGAUGAGCUUGGACUCUGGGGGUCUUGCUGGCCUAUGGUCAGCUCCUCUCAAAUAAAUCAGCUUGCCAGUGUUUGGUGGCAUCACAGGUGUGAUAACUAUCUACGCUUGUGGUUUUCCAUCAGGUAACCUUCAGUGAUGGAGGUUCGCUGGAGCUCAUAAAUGUCCCUCCUCAGCGAGGACAGCUUUUUGAACGUUUGAUCUCAAAUCAGGCAGGACUACCCGCUGAACUUAAGCAUAUCAAUAAGCGGAGGA
rnacentral:misc_RNA from 1 species